UGGGGCUUCAUUUCACCAUCAGUAGUAGGUAUGUAGGUAGGUCGGUAGGUAGGUAGGUAGGUAGGUAGGUAGACAGACGGACAGACAGACAGACAGAGAGAUAGACAGACAGACAGAUAGACAGAUAGAUAGACAGAUAGAUAGACAGAUCCGUUUGGAGAGACUUCUGCAGCAAAGUGCAACAUCUUUGUUUAUGGAUGUUCAUCCCUAAUGAACUACACAGCACACCUCUGUUUUAUCUUCAUUAGGUUAAUGCACUGAUAACAGGUUUACCCCUAAGUUGACCUGUUUUGUCCUCUACCUGUCUCGCACAGCUUUGAUCUUCUCCCACAAUCCCCGUGCUGUUCAUUUAUUUGGCCAGCGUUUUGCUCUACUGUCUCUGUGAUUAUGCACUGGACUGGAAUACAUUGUGUGCUGAGCUUCUGCUACCCCCGUACCUUUCUGAAUGUGUGUAGACUCCACCAUUGAUGAGCGUUUUGGCGACAGGGUCCAUUAUUGCCAUCUCACGGAGAGCAUGUUUUUGUCAUCGCACUGGUGGCAGAAAGAACUCUCCUCCGCCCUUAUUAAACCACUAAUUGUAACACGUCAGGGGGCAAGUGGUCUACUGUCCCUUCACUGCUGCUACUAGCAUUACUUUGUACCCAAGUGAGUUACCUCUGUGAAUAACAGCAGAGCCCAACUGUCACAUGCAGUUUGGAGUCCUCCUGUCAGAUACCUACGCAUGUUCCCAGUCCAGUCAGUCAGAGCAGGCGUGGAAACUUUGUGCUCAUGUUGUUGUUGUUUGUCUUCCUCAGGCUUUUUCCCAAAGGGAAGAGAGGCUGCCUGGAGGCCAUGUCACAGAUCAAGGUCCAGCCUGGCUGUUAUACAAGUCCGGGACCCCCAUGCAGAGAUGGGUCCCAAAAAAUAACCACUGCCCGCUCUCGUUGUUUCACAUAUUCACCAGAUAUUCACACCACAUCUCUCUCCGUCACUGUUUAGUGCUGCCAAACCUCCGUAUAUGGCCAAAUUCAAAGUAAAGCGGUGUGGAAUCAGUGAGCUGAAAAUAGAAGGUCUGCAGUGUCGUUCAGAUUCUGUGGAAGAAAAGAACGAAGAAGAGGCCAAGAGGGUCUGCUGGCAGGCCGCCAUCUUUAAAGUGGGCGAUGACUGCAGACAGGACAUGCUGGCUCUUCAGAUCAUCAGCCUGUUUAAGAUUAUCUUCCAACUGGUGGGAUUAGACCUCUACGUGUUUCCUUACAGACUCAUGGCCACAGCUCCUGGUGUAAAUUCAAACUAAGGGAAUAAUUACAAUGGAUUAAUUUUGGCAAUAAUAAACAUUACUUCCUGAAACCUUAAAUCGAAUUAUUAAGGCUGAAUUUAUAAAAUAAUUUGAUUGAUCAAAAUCACGAACAAAAAUGGUCCAGAAUUUUCUCCAAAACAGUGAUUCCCAAUAUCUGUGCCGUGGCACAUUAGUAUGCUAUAACCUGUUAAUAUGGCAACAACUUUGGCAGCUCCAGUAAUUGAAUAUUCCUUCACUCUUUUUGCUGCUCCACCACAGUGUGGCGUCAUCGAGUGCAUCCCAGACUGUAAGUCCAGAGAUCAGCUGGGCCAAAUGGAGACGAGUCAACCCUGGCCUUCCAGAAGGCGUGGUACUGCCUACAGUCUGCUGCUCUUCCUGCUGCAGAUCAAAGACUGACACAAUGUCACUGCACCACCACGAUGCUCGACGGUAAUAAAUGUUCUUCUGGUCAAUCAGGCCCUACAUGGACGGAGUGGUCUCCUUGGUAAACCUCAUGUUGGACACCGGUCUUCCCUGUUUCAGAGGACAAACCAUUAAAUUACUGAAGCAGCGGUUUAAUCCCGGUUUGAGCGAGAAAGAUGUGGCGUCCUUCAUCAUCAAAGUCAUCCAGAACUGCUUCCUCAGUAACAGGUCUAUAUGGUUUACAGCAAUGUUUCCCAAACUUUUUAUCUGGGGACCCAUAUCUUAAAAGUCACAAACAUUCGUGACCCAAGUCAAUAGACAUUAUUCAUAAACUCCUGGGAAACAUGAUGCGAGACGACCCAAAAAAAAAUAUUGCGACCCACCUGGGGGUUGCAACCCAGUCUUUGGGAAACAAUUUAUUUUCUUCAUUGUAACAACAAUAAUACCACUUUAGUCCUCACCAAAUUCAUCUGCCAGCUUUAAUUAAUCCAUCCAUCCAUCCAUCCAUUUUCAUCCGCUUAUCCGUUACCGGGUCAUGGGGGCAGCAGUCGCCACCCAAAUCACAUUGCACCGGACCAACCCCCCUAAACCUUCCUGCAGGG